rnacentral:rRNA from 1 species
UAGUCCUAGCUGUAAACGAUGGAUACUAGAUGUAGGAACUGGAUUGACGGUUUCUGUAUCGUAGCUAACGCGUUAAGUAUCCCGCCUGGGGAGUACGGUCGCAAGACUAAAACUCAAAGGAAUUGACGGGACCCCGCACAAGCGGUGGAGCAUGUGGUUUAAUUCGAAGCAACGCGAAGAACCUUACCAGCCCUUGACAUACCGGUGAAGUAUUUAGAGAUAAGAUAUGUUCCUUCGGGACAUCGGAUACAGGUGUUGCACGGCUGUCGUCAGCUCGUGUCGUGAGAUGUUGGGUUAAGUCCCGCAACGAGCGCAACCCUUAUCCUUGUUUGCCAGCGAGUAAUGUCGGGAACUCCAGGGAGACUGCCGGUGAUAAACC